rnacentral:rRNA from 1 species
AUUGAACGCUGGCGGCAGGCCUAACACAUGCAAGUCGGGCGAGCGGCGGACGGGUGAGUAAUGUAUGGGGAUCUGCCUGAUGGAGGGGGAUAACUACUGGAAACGGUAGCUAAUACCGCAUACCAUCAGAUGAACCCAUAUGGGAUUAGGUAGUUGGUGAGGUAAAGGCUCACCAAGCCGACGAUCUCUAGCUGGUCUGAGAGGAUGACCAGCAACACUGGGACUGAGACACGGCCCAGACUCCUACGGGAGGCAGCAGUGGGGAAUAUUGCGCGAUGGGGGCAACCCUGACGCAGCCAUGCCGCAUGAAUGAAGAAGGCCUUCGGGUUGUAAAGUGCUGUCGAUAGGGAAGCGGUAGCUACAGAAGAAGGACCAACUAACUCCGUGCCAGCAGCCGCGGUAAUUC